rnacentral:rRNA from 1 species
CACGUAGGGGGCAAGCGUUGUCCGGAAUCAUUGGGCGUAAAGAGCUCGUAGGCGGCUCAGUAAGUCGGGUGUGAAACCUCCAGGCUCAACCUGGAGACGCCACCCGAUACUGCUGUGGCUAGAGUCCAGUAGGGGAGUGUGGAAUUCCAGGUGUAGCGGUGAAAUGCGUAGAUAUCUGGAGGAACACCGGUGGCGAAGGCGGCAUCCUGGACCAACACUGACGCUGAGGAGCGAAAGCCAGGGGAGCAAACGGG